CACGAACGCUGGCGGCAGGCUUAACACAUGCAAGUCGAGCGCCCCGCAAGGGGAGCGGCAGACGGGUGAGUAACGCGUGGGAAUCUACCCAUCUCUACGGAAUAACGCAUGGAAACGUGUGCUAAUACCGUAUACGUCCUUCGGGAGAAAGAUUUAUCGGAGAUGGAUGAGCCCGCGUUGGAUUAGAUAGUUGGUGGGGUAAAGGCCUACCAAGGCGACGAUCAGUAGCUGGUCUGAGAGGAUGAUCAGCCACACUGGGACUGAGACACGGCCCAGACUCCUACGGGAGGCAGCAGUGGGGAAUAUUGGACAAUGGGCGCAAGCCUGAUCCAGCCAUGCCGCGUGAGUGAUGAAGGCCCUAGGGUUGUAAAGCUCUUUCACCGGUGAAGAUAAUGACGGUAACCGGAGAAGAAGCCCCGGCUAACUUCGUGCCAGCCGCCGCCGUAAUAC
rnacentral:rRNA from 1 species